GCCAUAUCACUUUGAAACAUCAGUUCUCAUACGAUCAGCGAAGUUAAGCAAUGUUAUGUUUGGUCAGUACCUAGAUGUGUGACCCGUUUGAGAAUACCAGGUGCCGUAA